ACAGAAGACCUUCCACCUCCAGGCCUUGCCUCUGGGUUUGGCAAAGCAACACACACAGCAGAAAGCAGCCUUCCACCUCUUCAGCUUCCUGGAUGCCUUUCGGGGAAUCAAUCUUCUCUCCCAGCCAAGACAGCCACCUGCCUUCUCAUCUCCCUCAAAAAGCAGCUGCCUAAGGACUCCGGGAUGACAGAAAACCAAUGCUGCUCCAGCCACACCUCUCUCAAAGUUGAGCAUCUUAAAUGAAGUAUAACUCAGAAGAAGACACAACUCUUUAGCUUCCAGUUCCCUGGUUGCCACAAGUGAACAGGGCUGUGUAGCUCCCACCAGCUCAGGAGAACACGGCUCACAGCCCAGAAGCUUGC